rnacentral:tRNA from 1 species
GAUGAAUUGGCAGAUUAGUGCAUUAAGUUUAGAACUUGAUUAAGUAUAAAAAUACAUUUAUUA